GACUUUCCUUAGACUAAAAAAUGUGAGUGAUUUAAAACAUUUUACGAUAUCGUGAGCUUAUGCAAGAACGUUUCUGAUAUUAAAGAGCUAAAGUUUUUAAGGAAACUGAACGUCAAACUUAUAUAUGAGGCAGUGAGAAGCAAAGGGACGGAAAUUUUCAAGUUUUGAGUAAAACAAGUUUAAAGAUAACGUCCUAGGGUAUCAACUUUCCUAUAAAAGUGAAGGGUAGACUUCAACAGAAAAGCAGCAACUAGACCUUCUGGGUGACAAAAUGAAAUUCACGUAUUUGUGGUGUCAAGUUUUACUCAUCACUUCUUUGCUGACUGUUCCCCUCUUGAGUGAACACCAUCCACGGAGAAAACAUCAGCAUUCACUUCUGUCGCAUGCAGAGAAAAUUGACAACGAAAUGGAAGAUGCAGGUAAAAGUUUUGCAAACGAUAAUGACAUUGAAGACAGCGAAAAUCUCGCGCUGCUGCACAGCCAGAGAGUGUCCGAGUUGGGAGGUUGUGAAGAGCCCAAGCUGCAGG